GCCCCUUUAGCUCAGUGGUAGAGCAUCGGAUUGCAGUUUGCUGAUUAUCCGCGUGUCACUAGUUCGAUCCUGGUAGGGGGCU